UCUAUCUUCUCUCGGGCCGUCAAAUUUCUCCUACCUUGCUCGAUCCCUACUUUGCAGGUUUCCUUCAGUCUUCGGGAUUGUUCCCAAUCAUCAGAGCAGCAAUGUCCAAAUUGCUGGAGAUUCUGCGGAAACUGCUCCAAGAUUGUCAAAAGGACCGUCGGCUUCUUCAAGAGGAGUGGGAUGCUGUUGGUUCCCAAUUGAAGUCGAGGGGGGAAACCUUGUGAAAGCGCGAUUCUGAGACAAAGAGGAAGCAGAAGGAGUUGGAGGACUGCAAGAAAGCAAGGGAUGACGCCCAAAUCCUUUACAGUAAGCUGGAAGAUGAGGAUCUAGAGUACAGGAAGCAGGUGAACCAAAACCCUUCCACAGAUGGAGAGAGGCUCUUCCAGCUUGCCGCUAAAUUCCAAGAAAAUAUAUGAGAUGAAAUAACAAACUAAAGAACAGGAUCAACAUUAAAUGAUGAUGUGAUCCCAAAUAGAACAAAGCAUAGGUUGAUCCUUUCUCCAGUCGACUGCCUCAGCAUUGUUCUAUUUAUUCUGAAUAUAUAUCACCUUCUUUAUAAGUAAA